ensembl:lncRNA
AUGGAGGGUAUACAGUAGGUAUGAUGGAGGGUAUACAGUAGGUAUGAUGGAGGGUAUACAGUAGGUAUAAUGGAGGGUAUACAGUAGGUAUAAUGGAGGGUAUACAGUAGGUAUGAUGGAGGGUAUACAGUAGGUAUGAUGGAGGGUAUACAGUAGGUAUGAUGGAGGGUAAACAGUAGGAUGGAGGGUACAUAAGGUAUGAUGGAGGGUAUACAGUAGGUAUGAUGGAGGGUAUACAGUAGGUAUGAUGGAGGGUACACAUCAGGUAUGAUGGAGGGUAUACAGUAGGUAUGAUGGAGGGUAUACCAUUGGUAUGAUGGAGGGUACAUAAGGUAUGAUGGAGGGUAUACAGAAGGUAUGAUGGAGGGUAUACAGUAGGUAAAAUGGAGGGUAUACAGUAGGUAUGACGGAGG